CUUGGUCAUUUAGAGGAAGUAAAAGUCGUAACAAGGUUUCCGUAGGUGAACCUGCGGAAGGAUCAUUAAAGAAUGCCCCGUUUUUUGAAAUGGGUUCUGUUCCCAAACCGUGUAUACAUACUUUUGUUGCUUUGGCAGGCCGCCUUCGGGCGUCGGCUCACGCUGACAGCGCCUGCCAGAGGACCCAAACUCGUUUGUUUAGUGAUGUCUGAGUACUAUAUAAUAGUUAAAACUUUCAACAACGGAUCUCUUGGUUCUGGCAUCGAUGAAGAACGCAGCGAAAUGCGAUAAGUAAUGUGAAUUGCAGAAUUCAGUGAAUCAUCGAAUCUUUGAACGCACAUUGCGCCCCUUGGUAUUCCGAGGGGCAUGCCUGUUCGAGCGUCAUUAUGACCACUCAAGCCUAGCUUGGUAUUGGGGUUCGCGGUCCCGCGGCCCUUAAAAUCAGUGGCGGUGCCAUCUGGCUCUAAGCGUAGUAAUUUAUCUCGCUAUUGGGUCCGGUGGUUGCUUGCCAACAACCCCUAACUUUUAAGGUUGACCUCGGAUCAGGUAGGGAUACCCGCUGAACUUAAGCAUAUCAAUAAGCGGAGGAA
rnacentral:sRNA from 1 species